rnacentral:rRNA from 1 species
GUUGGAUUCGCUUCCGGACACCUUUCGAAGGGUUUAUACCCUCGAACGGUGUACGAUGAAUUCCGAAGGAAAUGAGGAUUUCCGCCCCUGCGGUCCGCCGUCCAAGACGGGAUUCUGAUGUUCAGCCCUGAUAGUUCGGUGACCACCCGGUUCGGUCCGCGGUGUUCGCCGAGUGCGAACCCGAUAGGGUGAACACAACACCCUUGUGUUUCCCGCCUAAACCCCCCGAGCCCUUGUGCUCGGGACAUUCCGGUUGAUCCUGCCGGAGGCUAUUGCUAUCGGGAUCCGAUUCAGUCAUGCUAGUCGCACGGGCUCAGACCCGUGGCGAAUAGCUCCGUAACACGUGGUCAAACUACCCUCUGGACUGGGACACCCUCGGGAAACUGAGGCUAAUCCUAGAUACUGCUUUCAUGUUGGAAUACAGAAAGCCGGAAAUGGUCCGCCGCCGGAGGACGUGACUGCGGCCGAUUAGGUAGACGGUGGGGUAACGGCCCACCGUGCCGAUAAUCGGUACGGGUUGUGAGAGCAAGAACCCGGAGACGGACUCUGAGACAAGAGUCCGGGCCCUACGGGGCGCAGCAGACGCGAAACCUUUACACUGCACGACAGUGCGAUAAGGGGAUCCCGAGUGCGAGGGCAUACAGUCCUCGCUUUUCGUGACCGUAAGGUGGUCUCAGAAUAAGGGCUGGGCAAGACCGGUGCCAGCCGCCGCGGUAAUACCGGCAGCCCGAGUGAUAGCCACUCUUAUUGGGCCUAAAGCGUCCGUAGCUGGCCGAACGGGUCCGUCGGGAAAUCCACCCGCUCAACGGGUGGGCGUCCGGCGGAAACCAGUCGGCUUGGGACCGGAGGACCUGCGGGGUACGUCCGGGGUAGGAGUGAAAUCCUGUAAUCCCGGACGGACCGCCGGUGGCGAAAGCGCCGCAGGAGGACGGAUCCGACAGUGAG